UAAAUGACAGCUCGUUCUCCAUGAAUUCAUUUGUGCCCCGUUUGCUGGUGGGGUUGAUCGGGCUGUUUUUUUUUAAUACAGCUGUGCUAGACUGGGUGUUGUGAGGUACCGUUGGAGAAUUUUAUUAAGUGAGACGGAACUAUUAAUCGGAAUACAUCUGCCAUCACUAAAUCAAUAUUCGAACGGCUAUAUUGGCAGUGCUUAGUGCGUACUAAGGUGUGGACUGCGUAGCCCGCGCCCCCCACCCCCCGCUAACUGCACACCGCCUAUUUCGUAAAUGAAGUUGUGGAUAUGGUCCUGCGGGCAAGCUUUAGACAAAGAUUAGUCACGAUCUGCUAAAUAUAACUGGACGAUUUAAGUAAACGAUAGCGACCAUUACGACUUAAAUAAAACAAGAUUCCUGAGUCAGUUUGCGCAUAACAUGCGCAACCCUGCUUGUUCAGAUAAAACCGUCGCCAUUAUGAAGACAUGAUUGACAUUCUUAUAUUUAUUUCUUAAUGGUCAACUGAAUUGAUAAGCGCUGUCUAUUGUUUUUACUGAACUGGUAUAUGCAAACGGCAGAAUUAUAGAAGAAGUCGCCACCUCAAUUCCAGUAUAUAAUCCAGGCAGUUUUCUUAAAAAAAUUACCAUCGGCAAGAAAAUGGCCAUUUGUAAAACCUUGUAAUUUAAUAUGUGUUUCCUCGGAAUAACAAGGAUGAUUCAGAUGAUUAAUUGGGACAUCAGUUAUAAAACCGGACUAUGCCGUAAAUCACUACUAAGGACUUCAAACAAUUUAUGCGUCGAGCAACAUUUUAUACAAAAAUUUAAUGAAAAACUACUCCAAUAAAAAUGAUGCUACGAUCAACUGUUAUCAUAUGCAUCAUGAUGUCUUACCCUUUUGCUUGCUCAGAAGAUUUAACCAAUUUAUUGUAGCGCUAAAAUUUGUCAUGUAUUCCUCUUGGACAAAAAAGAAAUUUCAAUAAAUUCGAAUAUACCGUUAACCCAUAAAAAGUCUACCAGGCACCUUCAGACGCGUUUGAGAUAACAUCGGACUGCAGAGUUAUUUAUGCAAGAAAGAGUUUCGAGAUGAAAAAAUUGUUCCAACGGAAAAAUGAAAAAACCGAAUCCAAAGAGGGUGUGGGGGGCAGUUUUGUGGGGAAAACCUUUCAAGUUGGACGGACGGCCGUACAAGUCGAGGAUGUCAUCGCCGAAGGUGGUUUUGCUCUCGUGUUCCUUGUGAAGGGUUCUGGCGGUGUUCGUUACGCCUUAAAAAGAAUAUUUGUAAAUAACGACCACGAUCUCGCUUGUUGCAAGCGUGAGAUCCAGAUCGCGUCCAGCCUUUCGGGACAUAAAAAUAUCAUAGGCUUCGUGGACAGCAGUAUUACUAGUGUUGGCAAUGGAGUGUAUGAAGUGCUGCUGCUGAUGCAUCUUUAUAAAGGCCACGUAUUACAGCAGAUGAAUGAUCGAGUUGCAGCAGGUCAGACCUUUUCGCAGCAAAAGGUGCUAAGGAUAUUCUGUGACGUCUGUGAAGCUGUAUCACGAUUACACCAUUGUCAGACGCCAAUCGUACAUAGAGACCUAAAAGUCGAGAACAUUCUAGUAGCGACAAACAAUAGCGGAAGCACCGAUGGACCUCCGGAGACGUACGUUUUAUGCGAUUUUGGAUCAGCUACGGCCAAAAUGCUCAACCCCAACAAACAUUCCGUCGCUCAGAUCGAAGAAGAGAUCAACCGAUACACGACUUUGGCCUAUAGAGCGCCCGAAAUGAUAGAUUUCUAUGGAGGUCGAGUUAUUUCCACCGCGGCAGAUAUCUGGGCCCUUGGUUGCCUGUUAUACAAACUUUGUUUUUUCACUACCCCGUUUGGAGAGAGUGCACUUGCGAUUGCUUCCGGACAGUUCACGAUACCUUCAACAUCCACGUACACGGCACAGCUGCACCAACUUAUCCGAUAUUGCCUUGAAGUGGACCCCGAAGCUCGGCCCGACAUAUACCAGGUAUCGUAUGUGGCGUUUAGUCUUGCUGGUCGUGAAUGCCCAGUUCGUAACCUCAGCAAAUCUCUCAAGCCCGACCUAGAAAAAAUGCCGCAUAUCACCGAGGCUAUCACACACAGUGCUGAUCGUGCCGGUUUGCUGGUUACACCAACUCCUGGGAUAUCCACCUCGCCUCAACCAAAGGCAUCCACUCCCCGUACCGAUAGAUGUACAUUGCGUGAAACCACAUCAGUUACAUCGUCGUCCCUAUCAGGCACCUCGGUAGCUCCACGUCAGAGGCCCAAGGGUCACACUUCCUCUGCUGGCCGCGAACGCUUACUACCCCAAAUUUCUAGUUUGCCUCUGUUGGCUCCAGCAGGGCAGCAGGGCAUUAGUGGAGUUGGUGACAGCAGAUCUGAAACAGUUAGUCCAGGAUCACAAGCAGCAGGAUCGGUAGGACAAAUUUCAGCUAUCCAACGCGUAAGUCCUAGCAUCGUUAUAAAUUCAGAGAGCGAAGAUAUAUGUCAUAAGGCAUCAAAUGAGACUCAGUGGACGGAAACAGCAACGCUAUCUUUGAAUCAACUAGAAAUCACUGUGGAUGAAUCAACUUCGAGAACUGCUGGAUGGAACCCCUUUGCUGACGAUACGUUUGUCCCUCCUCAAGAUCUAGAAAAUGCAGUUACCACAAUCCUAAAUCACGACGAACGAGAUCUAGCUGUAACAAAGGCAGUUAAUUCUUUGGCUGUAACUAAUGUUAACGAGGAAGGAGACGCUUUUGGUCAGGCUUUCGACGCUUUGCGGGAUCCAAGCGGUCCAGCUUUAGUACAUCAUUCAAAAUCAAACGUUACUGUUGCUUUGACGUUAUCAACUGAUAGUGACAACGCGAGCCAAAUGGUCGAUCCGUUUGGUGCUGCGCCCUUUAAUAAAACUAUUGCAGCCUCGGUGAAGAAGCGGCAGCAUGGACGCGACAUAAAGGCUUACGAUGCAGCGCGCCAAAAUGAUGAACGGCAGCAGCAGAAAUCACCCAACAAAGAGUUUAAAGACAUCGAUGUGUUUGAUGAUGUCUCACAAGGGUUACGCACGGCUAAUGAUAAUACGGCUAGAUCUAAUGACCUGGAAGAACGCGAGGCGGGGUCUUCAGAUAACUUCCAAGCCGUGGGACUUCUGGAGAUUGAUUCGGUUGGUGCAUCACUUGAUAUACGAUGCCUUGACCACCAACAUGCUCACCAAUCUCAUCACAGGAAUAUAUGUAAAGCUACGACCGUUCUCAUAAAAGACUGUCACAGUGGCAAUCUUAGCGAUCGACCGAUUGAGUCUGAUGGUAGCACUCCUUUACUGGAUGACUUAGAGGACACUCAAGGACAUCCAGGUCGUCUACAUCGUGACAAUAUUCAGACAACAGACGACUGUGAUGUUUUUGCUGCUGCUCCUUUUCCAAAACUAAAACGUAAACCCAUAAACUUCGGACGACAAGCUAAGGACGGAGACGAUCGAAGCAUAAACAGUAAUCCAUUUUUAAGUACGAGUGCCAGUGCGGAUCCGAAAGAAGCAUUCUCCGCUUCUAAUCAAGGUCAUUUUAUAAGGCGUCACGCACUAGGAGGCCAUAAAGAGAAGCUAAACGAAAUUCUUAUAGAGGUGGAACGAGAUUCAACUAUAGCGUUGGAUUCCGCCAGGCAGUCAGCAACAAUUGGUACAGGACUAUUACGCUUUUCGAAUACUAACGCUGUACUCUUCAAGGACCCGUCACUGGUGUCGUCUAGCGGAGGUGCGGUUGUUAUUCCUGUCGGGGGAGGAGCCAAAGAAAACGCAGGCGUCAAGAGCGAUACACUUAAGGAGAUACGAAAAGGCCCGACGACUGUUGUCACACUCAACGAUAGCAAAGCCAGCCCAAAACAAGGACGAAAGUUCGAGGCAGGUCCGCAAGUGGCGUUGGGUGUGAAUGCUGAAUCAUUUGGCGACGUAUCACCCCGAUAUGGGUGUUCGGGUAUAGGCAAAGGAAACAGAAAGGACAUCAAAGAUCAUCCUAGCCUAGAAAACGAGUUGUUGCUUGUCUCCUCUCCCCUCGUACAGCCAACAGGAUCACAAAAUCUUUUAGGAAGCCGGUGUAAGAACCAAAAACGUCAGAACAUCAUAAAGAUAUAAAACACUUGCAAGAGGCAAAAGCACCUGUUCUGUAUCGGAGGCAACAGCGCCUGGAGCUCGUAGCAAGAGGCUGGACUAAGAAGUUUACAGUUAAUUGCCCAACGUCACAGAUUAGCGACGUUCUGCCAUCAGAUUGCACCGUCGUAGCUUCGUGAGAAGAAAUAAUCGGCAACUAUUUCGUACGUUCCUCCCUUCGUUUGUUCUUAUGGUGAUUUAAAUAGGUUGUAAGGUAGCAGCCAUUUCCAUACAUUUGUGUUAUUGCUCCUUGUGCGUGCCAUGUUAAUGCAAAAUUCUGUUAAGUUAAUUUUUGGGACUCGCUGAAAAAAAUUAUUUUUUCUAAUAGAACCAGUUACCAGUUGAACAUAAACUUAUUGCUUAAUGACGAAGCUUACAUAAAUGUGACAUGAUAAACAUAACAUAAGAAAACAUAUAGUCCGGAAGAAUUUCUGCUUUGACCCUAUGUAAGUGCAGGCCAGUUAAUUGCCAAUAAAUUAUGGAAUAUAUGGAAACUCAAAAGAAUCCUUUCAAAACUAAGACUCUUUGUUCUCUUCAUAUGAUAAUGGCGAAAAUCCAAUCCGCGAAAUACCGAAACGUACUUCAUUUUUAAUGUCUAUCUCAGUCGAAGCAUCGUUUUACACACAACUUUAUAUUUCAUAAGAUGUUAUCUAUAACGUGAUCUCUACACACAUCUCGGAGUUUAGUGGGAUGAAUGAUGGCGUGCUCUUAUCGUAAAAAAUUAUUAUUUUAGCAAGCUCAGCAGUUCCUGAAACCUUCAUUUUGUGACGCUUAGUUUUCAUGAAAAUAGUAAUGAAAGAGAUAUAAGAUGAUAAAAAAAAGGUUCAUUUUACACGUUUUGUAUAGAAUUUAUCAUACGAUUAAUAUAUUGUCACCGUUAUUAUUUACAGUACGAAUAUUUUUUUUACAUGAUUACCCAAUUUAUAUUCUAUCCACGCGCUUUAGAAUUUCCUUCAUGAAUUCUUUCAAUAAAUCGACUAAUAGAAUUUAGCGAGUAAGGGACUUCAGUAUGAUAGUAAACAAAAAGGUAGAACCUAUCAAAGAAAUAGAUUCGUUGACAACCAAAAAAAUUUCGAACACAGUAGCGCAACGGUAAGCGGCGAAGAUAUCUUUGACAUCUUGAAAACGAGCAAUGCGUGUUUAUAUUUUACUUAAAUGACAAUUU